CUGGAAGCAGCCUCUCUAUACCUACGGGGUAGAGGUAAGGCUGUCUACAUCUACCCUCCUCACAUCCUACCUUAGCUUUGCUAUUGGUGGGUUUACUGAGUAUGAUGAUGAUGGUUUUAAUUUUUGUUAUUGAUAAAAGUGUUUCAUGGUUACUAAAUUAACAAUGUCUAGUGCAUAAUAAAUUUGUCUACUGUUAAAUUUGAAGUAUGAGUAAGUUUAAAGUGAAAUUGCUGAGAUGAAUGAGGCUCUGGCUAGAGAGAUCUUGGUUUCAUCUGAGAGAGUUGCUGAUCUCUUGCCAUUUGAUCAACUGAUUGAAUAUGAGCCCUUGAUUUCAGUCGGUAUGCAUUUGAUACAUGCAACCAUGAUUGCAGCCAUGGCAGAUUUUGACAAUAAAUACCGAUGAUAACAUAUCUGAGCCUCAAAACCUUUAUCCUUGGAGAUAUCAGAUAAGAACUGUAUAAGAACAUCUAUCUACUUAGAGGUGCACAUUUCGGGUUUUUUUUUUUCCCAAACUGGCUCAGGUGAAAGUGUUUCAGUUUGGGUCAACAAUGGUCAUAACUGGUAUUUGGUAAAACCAGUUUACAGGUGGAAAAGGAUCGGUUCGGUUUAAAACUAGUUCUGGUUAUCAAUUGGUUUCAAAGGAGGAGUUCUCAAACCAGUGGUCGUUUUGAAACGGGUACCAGUUUCGCCAAACCGGUUCCAUAAUCUGAUUCGGGUCGGGUUGGGCCAAAAUUGUUUCCAAUUCACAAACCGGUUUUUUUGUUCACCUCUACAUUUAUAAUAGCCGCCUUAAAAUAUGAGAUGAGGUGUUAUAUUGUGAUAUUCUCAUGUGAUAGACAAGAGUAACUUCGCUCAACUUUAUAUCAGAACACCCCUACUUCAACAUACAUUAUCAGGAAAACAACAAUUAUAAGAGGAGAUGAUGAUGAUGAUGAUGAUGAUGAAUUCCUCGUUGUUGCCCCCAAAAUUAUCAGGGUUGGGUGUUGCCCCCAAAAUUCAACACCCUUCUUUUUUCUAUGUUCUCUUUUACAUUUCCUUUUACCGAGUACGGUACAAUACAAUACAUCGUCACUGCUUCAAUCUUGAUAUUAGUAGUAGUAGCACCGGGUGCAACAUACUCGUAACUUUAUAUCAGAACACCCCUACUUCAACAUACAUUAUCAGGAAAACAACAAUUAUAAGAGGCGAUGAUGAUGAUGAUGAUGAUGAAUUCCUCGUUGUUGUAUGAGUGAAUCGAACAAAGCUUGAGACUUACCGUAUCUUGGCGGGGUAAUAUCCGUCUGUUGAAGCAGCCGCGAUGUUUGCAGCCAUGGCGGUUGUUUCCUCUUUGUUUUGAUUGUUAACAAAUCUGAGCCUCUUCUAAUUCUUCUCUUUCAUAUUUUCGUUUUUAUUUUUAUCAAGGGUUUUGACUUUUGAUAAAACUGUUUCCGGUUUACCAAUUAACAAUAUCUAGUGCAUAAGUUGAAAGUGAAUUUGCUCAUAUGAAUGAGGCUCCGACGAGAGAGAUCUAAAGCAGCUGUCGUCCUCUUGUCUAUCAGUCUAUCUCCCCUGUUCGCUCCUCCAUCUUCUAAACCUAAAAAACAGCCGACAGAUCUUCUUUCAUUCGCAGGGAAGGUGAGGUUCAAUCAGCAGGUAAGCUUCGAUUCAGCAACUUCGAUUAGCCCCCAUUUCUUCUCUGUUACAUUUGAAUUGUUUUUUCGGAACGUGGUCGUCGGAAACGCGAUCCCGGAUCGUGUUCGUACUGCGAAUUGGAUCGGACGAACCAAAACGAAAAUCGUGCCAUGACUAUCCGUUUUUUUACUGCAUUAACUGCAUAGUUAUGUUGAUGCUGCUGCUACUGUUGUUGUUUCAUUUGAAAAGGCUAUGACGAUGGAUAUUAUUUUGAGCAAAAUCGGAAUUUACAGCUCUGAUCCGUAUCUUGGCUAGGCAACUUGGUCGGUAUGUAUUUGAUACAUGCUACUGUGAUUGCAGCCAUGGCGGGUUUCGACAGUAAAUUCCAAUGAUAACAUAUUUGAGCCUCAGAACCUUUAUCGUUGGAGAUACAACUCUGUAUAAGAACAUUUAUCUACCUAGAGGUGCACAUUUCGUUUUUUUAAUCCCAUACCGGUUCAGGCUGAAAUGGUUUCGGUUUGGGUCAACAAUGGUCAAAACUGGUGUUUGGUAAAACUAGUUUACAAGUGGAAAAGGAUCAGUUCGGUUUAAAACUAGUUCUAGCUAUUAAUUGGUUUCAAGGGAGAACGGGGACCAGUUUCACCAAACCUGUAUCAUAUUCGGUUUCGGGUCAGGUCAAAACUGGUUCCAGUUCACAAACCGGUUUUCUGUUCACCUCUGUAUUUAUAAUAACCAUCUUGAAAAAUGAGAUGAGGUGUUAUGUUGUGUUGUGUUAUUCUCAUGUGAAUUGAGACUCGGGUGAGAAUGAGAUUGAGGAGGUUUCUGAGAGUAUCUUGCCAUUUGAUGAUGGUGAUGGUGGAGGUUGUGGUAGUAGCAGUAUUUUGUAAACUUGUUUAAAGGCUGUGAUGAUCAGUGUAUUCAGAGGGGACAUCGAAGAUCCGAUUUGUAUCUUGGUGGGGCAAGAUCCAGAUGGCAUAGUGAAGAAGAAUUUGACAUUCUCUUACCAUGCAACUGUGUAUCUGCAGCCACGGUGUAACACGUUUCUUCUUUGUCCCCAUCUCCCAAUUACAGAUCUGAGCCUAUUCAUUUACCUCUUUACAAGUGGAAAAGGCUCGGUUCGGUUUAAAACUAGUUCUGGCUCUUAACCGGUUUCAAGGGAGUAGUUCUCAAACUGAUAAGUGGAAAAGGAUCGGUUUCGGUUCGGGUCAAAAACCGGGUUUUUUUGUUGACCUCGACAUGUACCUAUAACCGCCUUAAAUGAUGAGAUGAGGUGUUAUGCUCUCAAUUGAAUUGAGGCUCAGGUGAGAGUGAGGAGGUUUCUUAGAGUAACUUCCCUCUUGCCAUUUCGACUGGCAGCGUUUUCUGAGGAUGAUUAUGUUGCUGUUGUUGUUCCAUUUAAAAAAGGCUAUGACGAUGGAAAUUAUAUUGAGUAAAAUCGGAAUUUACAUAUCGGAUCCGUAUCUUCGCUAGGCAACUCUGUUGGUAUGUAUUUGUUUUCAGAGAGAAUGAACUCUGUUGGAAUUUACAUAUCGGACUGUGAUUACGGCCAUGGCAGAUUUCGACAACAAAUUCCGAUGAUAACAUAUCUGAGCCUCAAAACUCUAUUUCAAAUGUCCCUCAAUAUCUGAAGAUUUUCGUGUUGAACAUAGAACCAAACAAGUAAACAAACGAGGGUGGGGUGAGGUGAGGUUUGAGAACAAAUCUUUCUUUAUCACAUGAGAUAAGCAUUGUACAUGUACAUCUUCCUUGAGGUGCACGUUUCGGGUAUUUUUUUUCCAAACCGCUUCGGUUUGGGUCAACAACAGUCAAAACUGUCCCUUGGAGAAACCCUUUAAUAGGUGGAAAAGGAUUGUUUCGGUUUGAAACUGGUUCUGGCUCGGCUCUAACCAGCUCCAAACCACUUUCAUAAUUGUUAUAUUGUGUUUUGAAUUUUGAUCAAGCAAAUGAGGAUUUUGUCUGUCUCAGUUUGCUGCUUUUAAUUGUGUGAAAAGUAGGAGGCUGUGAUGAUAUAAUGUAGUGAGCAAAAGCGGAGUUUGUGGAUCUAAUCUGUAUCUUGGCUGGGCAAUAUUUUAGAGGUGCACAAACCGUUUUUUUUUUUUUUUUUUUUUUUUUUUUUUAAACUAGAGUGGGUUUAAAAACCGGUUCUUAUUUGGUCAACAAAAUUGAAAUCGGAUUAAACCCGAAAUAGUUGUAGUCUUGUAGAUGGCAAUUGUUGUUGUAUGUGGAGGUUGAUAUUCCAUUGCAACAUAUCUGAGCCUUUGUUCCACAACAGACACAAAUUUAUAUUCGAUCAUGUAGAGGAUAGGUAAUUGGUUUUUGCAAUGAAUAACUUUUUGAAUUAUGUUCGUGCAAAGUUUGAUUAUCAUACUAAUUGUAUGCGUAAGUUUACUACAGUUUUUUCUAACUGGUGCAAGCAUGGGUCUGUUUAAAUGUUUCAUGGUCUGACUGUUGCAGCUCGGCUUCGGCAAUUUUUUUAACUACAAUAUGGUGUUUGCAUUCUGUAUUAGUUUCUUGCUUUUUAUUUUGUUUUGCUUCAGCUCCCUGUCGUAGUUUUUUUUUUUUUUUUUUUUUUGCCUUGGUUUUGAAUAUUUUUGGUGAAAAGGACAAGUGUGUAUGGUUCGUUGACCAAGGGAGAGGUUUCUCAACAAGAUCCUUGAGGCUGCUAAUUGAGAACAAAAUUUGUUCGCAUUACAAUUCAUAUGGAACAAAUUAAACAUGUUUGGGGGCGGUAUUAAACAUGCUUCCAACAAACGUAUUGUUAGUAAAUUAGGGUAGGAUUAUCUCUUCUACACUAUGUCCUUUUUGUGGAGUUGCCCCCGAAGAGGUCGAUCACCUUUUUUAUCAAUUGUGGACUGGUGAGUGAUUUGUGGCGACAGGUUUUAUUGUGGUGCAAAAUUCCCAUAUUCUGCGCAGCCUUGGCAAGGGAGUGGGUCGAUUACCAUCUUUCAUAUGAAAUCACAUUGGAAGCUUCUUCGAAUCUUCAAGCAGUUUUUUUCUUACAGUCCUGUGGUGCAUUUGGGGAGCAAGGAAUGACCAAGUUUUUAAUAAUGAGAACUCUAUGAAGAUAUUAGAAGAGGCUGAAACUAUGUCUUCUCUUUAUGGAUCAAAUACAGGGCAAAUUUAUUCUCAUUAGGUUGGGCUUGCUACUUUGCUUAAUGUGUAAUUGUGUACUCUUUUCAAGUUUCUAGCUUCUGGCUAGAACCUGUUCGUCAUCUAUCGACUUAUCAGUACUUUCUGGUACAAUUGGGCGGCGAGGAAGGCGAUAGUUGAAGCGUCGAGACGUGUGUCGGUGACAGAGAAGCUUGAUCUAACGACUUUCAGGUGACGAAGAGAAAAAGGUGUUCGGAUUCCUUUGUUGUUUGCAGUUUUUGUUUAAUCUGUUUUGUGUUUGAGUUGAUUAAUUUUGUGUUUUAGGGUUAUUAAUUAAUUUCAAAUCAGUUCAUUAGUUUUGUGUUUCACAAGAUGUCUUGACACCAACACUGAGAAAGUAGGCAGAGAAUGACUUUUCUUUGUAAUGAGGUGCAUAUUCAAAUUUAGAUGAAUGUGGUUUGGAUAAAUUUUGUUUAUAUGGUGA